UACAGAGGUCUCGAGCGUUGUUCGGAUUCAUUGAGCGUAAAGGGCGCGUAGGCGGCGGGGUAAGUCUGGUGUGAAAUCUCGGAGCUCAACUCCGAAACUGCACUGGAUACUGCUCUGCUAGAGGGCUGGAGAGGAGAUCGGAAUUCACGGUGUAGCAGUGAAAUGCGUAGAUAUCGUGAGGAAGACCAGUGGCGAAGGCAGCUCGCUGGGACGGUACUGACGCUGAGGCGCGAAAGCGUGGGGAGCAAACAGG
rnacentral:rRNA from 1 species